UACGAGGGGGGCGAGCGUUGUUCGGAAUUAUUGGGCGUAAAGGGUGCGUAGGCGGUUCCGCAAGUCCUGUGUGAAAUCUUCGGGCUCAACUCGAAGUCUGCACGGGAAACUGCGGGGCUUGAGUGUGGGAGAGGUGAGUGGAAUUCCCAGUGUAGCGGUGAAAUGCGUAGAUAUCGGGAGGAACACCUGUGGCGAAAGCGGCUCACUGGACCAUAACUGACGCUGAUGCACGAAAGCUGGGGGAGCAAACAGG
rnacentral:rRNA from 1 species